rnacentral:rRNA from 1 species
AUUGAACGCUGGCGGCAGGCCUAACACAUGCAAGUCGAGCGAACCUAGCUUGCUAGGUGAGCGGCGAACGGGUGAGUAACGCGUAGGAAUCUGCCUGGUAGUGGGGGACAACGUUCCGAAAGGAACGCUAAUACCGCAUACGCCCUACGGGGGAAAGCAGGGGAUCUCCGGACCUUGCGCUAUCAGAUGAGCCUGCGUCGGACUAGCUAGUUGGUAGGGUAAAGGCCUACCAAGGCGACGAUCCGUAACUGGUCUGAGAGGAUGAUCAGUCACACCGGAACUGGGACACGGUCCGGACUCCUACGGGAGGCAGCAGUGGGGAAUAUUGGACAAUGGGGGCAACCCUGAUCCAGCCAUGCCGCGUGUGUGAAGAAGGCCUUCGGGUUGUAAAGCACUUUAGGUCGGGAGGAAGGUUCGCUGGCUAAUAUCCAGCGGAAUUGACGUUACCGACAGAAUAAGCACCGGCUAACUCCGUGCCAGCAGCCGCCGUAA